rnacentral:rRNA from 1 species
AUGGAUGUGGACACCUCAAGUACGUCUCGUGGAAGAGGCAAGAAUAAAAGGAAGUGGACUUCAGAUGAGGAUGAUGAACUUAUUAAAGCCUUGUAUGAGUUGUCUUUGGACCCAAGGUGGAAGGCAGAUGGUAGCUUCAAAAAUGGAUACCUAGUGGUAUUGGAGAAGCACCUUGCUGAAAAGUGCCCGGGUUGUGGUAUCUCUGCAAUUCCACACAUCGAGUCAAGAGUGAGGCACUUUAGGACAAAAUUUGGUGCUCUUGAAGUAAUGUUAUCCAAAAGUGGUUUCACAUGGGAUGGAAACCGGAAGAUGAUUCAAUGUGAGAAGGCACAAUAUGAAGCACAUUGUAAGAUUCAUAGUGAGGCAAAGGGAUUGUAUGGUGUCCCAUUUACAUACUUUGAGCAGUUGGCUGCUAUUUAUGGCAAGGACAUAGCAACUGGAGAAAAUGCUGAAGGCUUUGGUGAGACGGUGGGAAACUUGGAAAAUGAAAUUGCUAUAGAAUAA